UAGGAAAGUUUGGCAGGCAGUGUCAGUGUCCCUUGUGGUGCGCAAGGAGGAAGUGUUUUGUUCGUGAUCGCUGCUCCUCCGUGAAUUGGUGUUAGGUGUUAAGGUGCAGGUGAAGGAUGCGUUUAGGGGCGGCGUGCCCCCAGUGUGAGCCCCGGAAGGCGGGGCCCCAGUGACAAGUGACCCCAGUGGGCAGUGAUGCAUUAAGGGUGAGGCUCGCCCGCCGGUAAGAGUGACGCCCGUGGUGGCGGCGGGCGAGCAGCGGCUGCCGAGCCCUGCGUGAAGGUGUGCGUGGCGAGGCGUGGCGUGGCCAGGCGCCACUAUUGGCCGGGGGUGAACGGUCCCGCUGGCGGACAGGUGUGACGCGGGCACGUGAGAUAGGCGAGCCGUGCACCGCUACGAAGGUUAGGGUGCCACGGGUGGGUGGGGCGACCAUGGUGACGCGCGAGGCCCCGUGACCACCUGGCCGAGGCGCCGCCGCCAUGGAGAAGGUCGAGAAGAAACUGACCAGGUUCCGUGCGACGCUCAAGAACAAGAGGAAAGUUGUCGCUGCCGGUGUUCAUCAACCAGUUCCAGCAGCAGUGGGCGGAGCAGCACGGCUCCAGCGCCAUCGGGAGCGGGGGAGGCCUGGAUGGCGGCGUGGCCUCCUCAAACACGUCCUUCGGGAGCCUCACCUCAAUUCCGCCCGCCAUCGAGCGGGAUGGCCGUCGUGGCCUCUCCCCAACCAACCUCAACCUCAACUUCACGCCCCUUGAGGUGGGGCGGGAGCGGGGGACACAGUAUUGGUGGGUCCCCCUACUCCACCCUCACCCGCACGGGGGCACCGUACCCCUACCCGUGCCACAUCAACCUUAUCACCUCGGUGUCUUCGCCAGGCGGCACCACUCCAGCUGGUGGCCGGCACGCCGCCCUUCCCCACUGUGCGCCUCCUCCUCCCAGACGGGAGCAGUUCAGCGAGAUCGGACCUGAAGUCAGACAACAAAAGUACAAAUGAUAAGGCCUUGCGUGAUGUGGUAAGAGGUGCAGAGGCCGCGCGGCUCUUUCCUUUUACGUCCACCUUCUCCUCGCCCUUUGAUCCCGGAGGUGGACUGUGACAUUUGCUACCAAAGUUUCCUCGCCUUGCAGUGUAGACCAACUCAAGGACAAACAGCCGGAUGAACUGGCGCCGUAGCAGCCUAAAGGUGUAACUCAUUCCAGUGGUCACCUGUGAUGCGCUGGACUCUCCCCUACACCAGUGAGACGUGAAAUGACAGAGCAAUGUACACAAGACACAUCACGAAAUUUACGAAAUCCUGCUCACGUUCGGUUUAGCAACGCCGCAGCAGACAUGACGCCAGAUCAGUAAAAGUCACACGGCUAUUUUUUUUCCUUGCGGUGUGUAAGUGUGUGGGGGUGAGGUGUUCCAUAAAACGAAUGUAAGGUGAUGUUCAAUGUGUAUGUGUUGAAAAUGCAUCGUUAUGGUGGUGCCCGUGCUGGUAUCUUUAGUUGGUUCGUGUCUGGCUGUGCUUCCCCCUGAGUCACUCACUGGCGGCUUCAAGAUGCAUUACCUUCCCUUCCCUCCGGCCUCUCCUGCCCCUCGCGAGCUGGUGAGCGUCGCCUCUGGGAGUGUCGUCUGGUUUGAGGUGACCUAUAAGGAUGUAUCUUGUGCAAGUGAAAUGAAUACCUGCCGCGUGUCCUUCUAUUUGUGGUGGGUUGUUGGAUAGGGCAGGUCGUGAUGCCUGGCGGCUGGUUUCAUUCAAGACAUUUAUCCUCCAAUUUCGAAUGCCCUUUUUACCUUUCGCAUGGGACUGGCACUCGCAGUGGGCCUUUUUUUCACUCUGUUGACCUUGCCCAGUGCCCUUGUUACAUAAAUAAAUGGUAUCCUGUUUCGAGGCACCAUGUUUGCUACCAUCUUCCAUAGUGACACCAUUCAUAGCAGCUCCCAAAAAUGGCAUUACUCUUGUGGUACUCUGUAUACAUGAGAGCCACACAAAGCAGUGCCAGCCUUUCCUCGGGUGGCGAGGGGAGGCAGGAGGUGAGAUUCGUGGUGCAUGCAGAUUGAAUUUACUUUGUCUCCUUCAUUCUUGAUCCAGCGUGUGUCGACAGGGAGUAUAGGGCCGGAACAGCCACAUGGCGGACGUCAUAGGGGUGGUGAGGUACUGAAGAAUGGACAGGAGUUGCUAUUAUUGUCCAUGAUAAUAAGGAGAGGAGUAGAAGGAAGAGGAAGAGGAGGGGAACGCAAAUGGCGGUGCUAAUAGUGUUAUAAUGACAAUGGUCGUGAUAAUGACAAUAGUGGUGAGGAUAGUGAUAAUGAUGAAUAGUUAGAAUAUAACACAUAAUUGUAUAGUUAAGCCAAAUAUCAACAAAUUUAGUUCUUACGAGAGUGUUUAGCUAUUUAUGUUUACCUAGCCUUUGAUUUGAGAUGGGACAGCAUAGCGGAAGGUUUCUCUUCACCCAUCACUCACUUUGCGAUGGCGUGGGAACGAGGGAAAAAAAUUAUCAUCCUGUAUGGAAAAACUGACAUGGAAAUUUCAUAGGAAGGGAUGAAGGGAGGAGGAGGAGAAAUGUGCUAUAUUGAGGCCCUGCGGGAGAGAGGGAGGGAGAGGGAGAGGGAGAGACGUUCCGAGGCCAUCCCAAGUUUGGAAAAUAAAAAAAAGGAAAAGAAAAAAGUCUAUGGAAAAGUAACGGGAAAACAAAAACAUGGGCAAUUUAGUUUUACUCACUCACGUACAGCUAUUACAUAUUUUGAUCUAGUUUUUUCUUUGUUGCUGUUGCCUUGGACUUUGAACAAAUCAAUAACUUCUCUUAAUAUGGAAAAAUCAAUAUGGCCUACAAAGCAAAUUUCCCCGUUUCUUCUCAGCCUCCCUUUGUACAGCCUGCCUCGGACCUUUGUGUGGCGGGAAAAGCCUUCCAGCCGCCACGUCAUUAAGACAGUCAUUCAUAAAAGUAGUAAGACACCUUUCAUUUGUCCUGCCGUCCCUUGAUGGUUCAGUGGCAUAUGAUUUUGACUACGGCACAUGUAGAGACGUUGCAGAGAGUGUGGUGUUGGUGAGGUGGAGAGGAUCAAGGAUGGAUCAAGGGUAGGAACGAAUGGAUGCUCGUAGUGUUGGAGAAUGGGUGUUGCAAAGGUUGACUUGGGGUGUUUUUGAAGGAGUGGUUUUAAGGCGUUUGUGGAGGGGAUGGUUACCAGGUGUUGAUGAACAGUGAUGCAAGAUGGUGGUGGAGGAGAAAGGUGCAAGGGGCAUAGUGUUGGUGGAGGGACAUGAUGCAAGCUGCUGGUGUAGGUGGCGUAGAAAUCCUGACAAAGCGUGAGGUCAGUGGAGUGUUCGCGAGCACGCCGCGUCACGUGGGAAGCGAAGGCUCCCUCUCCCCCGGCUGCUGCUGUCUGGCUGCCAUCUCCUGCCGCCGCAUUUCGAAACAGGAAACUUUAUUUGCUAGGUGGAUUGAGGCAGCGGGCGAAGAGCAAUGGUGGAGGUAGCCAAGACGUAAUGGCGAGAUAUUUGGCCAAGUCGAUAGCGACGAGUGUUGGGCGGCGGUGGACGAGGUCGCGCGGGUCUGGAUCCGGCGACCGCCAGCAACUCUCACUAGUUUCCAGUCGGCCUUACAAAGUGCGGAGCCUGGCCACGCGGACUCCAUUCCUUGGCCGGCCGUUCCGAGAAGGAGAGUGCCGCAUGGCGCCGCGGACACGACGGAGACAAGUCUAACGGACGCGCCGCUGACGUGACCUGCUGCGGGCGGCCCGGGAUGCGGGUAGUGGCGCCGCGCUGGAGGGCGGCCGGGGCAACGGGUUGACCCGAGGCUGUGUGGCUCGUUGUGUGUGGCGUGAGGGGCUGAGGGCACCACCUGGCCGCCCAUAGCCUGGCGCCGCCCGACCCGCGCUCCCCUAAACUUCAGGUGAAAACUUUUGGCUCUGGUCGCGUGGCGUGGCGGCCAGCGAGAGGGUCGGGGCGCGGCGCUCGAAAACUUUGGUUUUUGUUCGCCGCCAGCUGGCCUCCGACACCCGCAGAUUUGUCUUGUUUUGGUGAGGACCCUGCCAGGGCCUCAGUCUGCGGGUGCCUGGAGUAGCAGCCGUGAGGAGCGGCCACACUUCCUUAAGCGACGUGCAGUUUUUGUGGCCAUGGAUCGCACGUGCCGCUGUCAGGUGACGGACUGAAAACACUCCUCAGUUUCUGUCACGCCUCACGGGAGGUGCCGUGACGCUAGCUACUCGGUGGCAAGUUUUUGGACAAGUUCACGAACUUCCUAGUGGAGCUGAACUUUAAGAUUCCUCGGUUCAGUACAAGUUUUAAUGACUUUGGCAAUUUUUUCCCAGCGCACACAUCAUUGUUACACGUGGGGAGCGCUCCGUGUCGCAGGUCGCUGAGAAGAGAACCGAGAGGGAAAAGAAACUUAGCAUGCCAUCGGAGCGGCAGCUGGAACAGUGGUGUUGAGGCCGCGGGUACCAAGUGCCUGACGGUGGGGCAAAGACCCUCUCCUGCCUUCACUGUCGCCACUCCCUCACCCUUCCCCCCGGCCUCACAGUGCUAUGCAAGGUUCCCGAAGGUGACGCCCUAGACCUUUCCAGCCUCAUCUCGCACCUCUCGCCGCUCACGCCCCCACUCGGUCUUGGCCUGCCUUCAGGCCGCCCUCGUCCGGUGUGUGGAUGGGAUUACAAAACCAUAUCUUGAUACAAAGUUCCUAUGCAUCUACUUUUCUGGCUCCAGUUUGCAGAAAGUUUAUUAACCACGUAUGUGAUUUGUACAUAUCAUCUCUUAGUUAAGUGCAUCGUAGUUUAUUGUACCAAGAAAAUCGUGGAUAUUUUUGCUGCAUUGCAUUUUUGUGAUGGUGAGCGAGUGACCAAGACUGGAAGUCUUUAUUUUGCGAGAGAAAACAGAUUUCAGGUUUUCUUGCUUUCGUACAGGAAACCAGAAUUGAUCCACAAACCGUGCGAUAAGUCAUUCGCGAAUCUAGUUAUGAAAGCAGACGGUGCUGACGCCCGGCCGAGCGUGUGGGGUUGAGGACCAGCACGUCCAUGCCUCACUCAGCCGCUUGGAACCGAAGGGAAAACAGUGUGUUAUCUAAUCUCGUCGGCAAGGUGGAACACGAGCUGGGUGGAUUUGUCUCCGCUCCAGACUCAUUUUUCACUUCCUUGAAAUAGUCUGUUUAUGUUUGCAUCGACUCAACUCGAGGAACUGUUAACUGCACCCUUUCAGUGUUACCUCCUUUACUAAUUCCCCACACCCCAACGUCCUCCUCCUCAUCCUCUCCCUUCUGAUCCUGCUUUACCUGCCAUUACUGCAACCACCGCUUCCCUCUCCCACUCCACGUAAAUUGGUGCUACAAGCGUCUACCUCUGUGUCAGGAAGCUCGAUGCAACAUCCAAGAUAACAGAGAUAGCAACACGCUGCUAUCACUGGAGCGGCCGCCGGGAGGACCACUGGCAGAGGCACACCAAUAUAGGUACGUGAAAAAGAAGAACUGGAAAGUGCGGGGAAAAGAAAAGAGAGAGAGAGAGAGAGAGAGAGAGAGAGAGAGAGAGAGAGAGAGAGAGAGAGAGAGAGAGAGAGAGAGAGAGAGAGAGAGAGAGAGAGAGAGAGAGAGAGAGAGAGAGAGAGGUUUGAAGUGCUUAUACUGCAAGUUUAGGUGUCUCCUCAUCUCCUCCUCCUCCUCCUUCCUGGUCGUGUCUUGCCCGGAGUGUUGUUGUCUCACGGUGCGGGAAGGGAGUGUUUCUUUGACGUCCUGGACAGAUACUUGCCGUGGAUUAUGUGUGACAAAUCCCUGACCUGCCUGUGGAUGGUGCGGCCAGUGUUGGUGGUCAGAUAUUCAGCUGCAGUCUUGUCUGUUGUCUGUGAUGGACUGGAAACUUGAACGUGUCCUUCGCAUGAGAAUCGAUUUCCUAUUUUUAACUGGGACUUGUGUUACGAAAGGCUGGUGAUUUGUAAGUUUGGGCUAUAUUUUUCGUAUUGUAAUGUAGUUUUUGUGGUGUGUUGAGUAUUCGAGUACAUCCAUUGCUUGCAGAUCGAUUUUAGAUUAUUUGUUUACAAUUGACUUAGA